GUUGGUGUAGCUCAGUGGUAGCCUGCGUGCUUUGUGUUUAUGAUGUCCUGGGUGCAAUCCCCAGCUUCUCCC